AAGGACUGUGCUCCCAAUCCGCUUACGCUCAAGGAAGAACUGGAAGGCCCAGAACCAGCCUGCUGUCAGGAUCAGAACAAAAGAGGAGGACUGCAUAUGUAUGGACCCACUCCAGAUGGCACGGGGACGGGGGGAGUAGGAAAAGUGGCAUGGUCCCUUCCCGUGGAUAUAAUUCUUCCCAGGCCUGUUGUGUGAGUUGGUGAUGCCAUCAUUCCUGCCUCACACUUGCAAACUUCCCUCUUUGGAAUUUCAGAGACCAGGCCCACAGAGUAUGGCUGUGCAAGUUGUUCACUCUACAAGGGCACCUGGCCGGGGUCUUACCUUGAAUGGAGGAGAAGAGCUUGAAGAUGAGGGGACAGGCCAAGACAACUACCUGGCCCCGAGGGGUGGCUGGCCAGCAGAUGAGGAAAUGGAGGCACAGACUGAUUAGAAAACCAGCUCAAGGUCAUGUUGCUGGGCUCUCUGGUGGAGCCUCUGUCUCACAGGUCACCUGCAGGCCAACACUCCCAGAAGCAGCUAGCACCAUGGUUGACCUCGUCCAGGUCCAGGGAAGGCCUCCCUCUCCAGGACUCCUUUAGAUUUCCCCAGCAUCCAGACCUCACCUGCCUAAGUGCUGUUGCCCUGGAAGCCACAGUGAGCACGAGCUCCAUCUUGCACCUUUACCAGCCAAUGGGGGUAAAGACAUUAGCUGAAAUACUUCUAAGGGGCCAGGCGUGGUGACUCAUGCUUGUAAUUCCAAGCACUUUGGGAGGCUGAGGCAGGUGGAUCACCUGAAGCCAGGAGUUCAAGAGCAGCCUGGCCAACAUGGCGAAACCCUGUCUCUACUAAAAAUACAAAAUUUAGCCAGGCAUGGUGGCGGGAGCCUGUAAUCUCAGCUCCUAGGGAGGCUGAGCCAGAAGAAUCGCUUAAACCUGGAAGCUGGAGGUUGCAGUGAGCCAAGAUCACACCACCACACUCCAGCCUGGGUGACAGAGCAAGACUCCAUCU
rnacentral:lncRNA from 1 species